rnacentral:rRNA from 1 species
GCGAACGCUGGCGGCAGGCUUAACACAUGCAAGUCGAGCGCCCCGCAAGGGGAGCGGCAGACGGGUGAGUAACGCGUGGGAACAUGCCCUUUGGUUCGGAAUAACUCAGGGAAACUUGAGCUAAUACCGGAUAAGCCCUUUUGGGGAAAGAUUUAUCGCCGAAGGAUUGGCCCGCGUCCGAUUAGCUAGUUGGUGUGGUAACGGCGCACCAAGGCGACGAUCGGUAGCUGGUCUGAGAGGAUGAUCAGCCACACUGGGACUGAGACACGGCCCAGACUCCUACGGGAGGCAGCAGUGGGGAAUAUUGGACAAUGGGCGCAAGCCUGAUCCAGCCAUGCCGCGUGAGUGAUGAAGGCCCUAGGGUUGUAAAGCUCUUUCGACGGGGACGAUAAUGACGGUACCCGUAGAAGAAGCCCCGGCUAACUUCGU